AGACGGCGGGACAAAGGCCAGCCGGUGGGUCCCCAGUUUUGAGUAAUCCAGAUACGGUUCCGGGGUUCCAGGCAGCGCUCGGAGCGCAGAGCUCUCGGCACGGCCUCCGCGCCUCCCCCGAGCCCCCGAGCCAGGUGGGGCCGGGAGGGAGACCCAGGGCCUGCGCUCAGAGGCCGGGGAGUUGUGUUUAUUUUCCAGUUAUUCUUGGCCGCCGUCCACGCGAUUAUUUGGAGCAGCGCAGGGGCCUUCGGGGAGAGCUGGGGCCUUGGGGGGGUGGGGUGGGGGUCCCUUUGCCAGGCCCCACGAGUUUUAUGGCGCCGGAGCUCGGAGGGCGAAAUUACAGGCGGAAUCAAAAUGUGUAAAUUAUAGGUUUGUGUUGUAAAGAGGCCUGAGCGCGCCCGCUGGAGAAAGGCGGUUGUGGGUUCCCGGCGGACCCGCGCCAGCGCCGCGCGCGCCUCUGCGCGCUGAGCUUUUGCCGGCUCCACCCCCAGGCGCGGGGAGCCCGGACCCCGGGGCGCGGGGACACAGGGCCGCCACGCAGGCCCCCGGGCUCCGGCCCGCACCGCGUGGCCUCCCUGGCCGGCCGGAGAGAGAGGCAGCAGGCCGACUCCCGGCCUCCGGCGCGCCAGGCUCGACGACCAGCAGUCAGGACCGCGGGAGCCGGGGCGCUGUCGCCCUCCUGCCGUCCCCGCCGCGCUGGCCUUUUAGCCGCAGCUCGCCAAUUAGCUUUCGUCGGAAAUGCCUUUAUGUGCCCAGCCGCGAGCGGAGCGAAAGCUCAUUGAAGAGUUUAGACGCGUGUGCCUUGGCGGGUCGCCGGAGCGCGUUGGAAAGAAUUUCAGAAACAUCGCCGUUCAAAGCUCUCCUGACUUAAUUUUAAAUUAUUUGGCUUUUCCUGGGUUUCUUCUGCAUUCCCUUCGCCGUCUUAUCUCUUCUUUUCCCCCCUUUCAAAAAAAAUUUCCCCUUACCUUCGCUUCCUUUCCCUUCUCCCCCUCCGGGCUGGCCUCCUGCCUGCCUGCCUGCCUGCCUUCCUUCCUUCCCUCCCUCCUGGAUCCCGUCUUUCCCAUUACAUGUUCGAUUUUCUUUCUUCUUUCUCUCCUUUUUCUCCUCACAGUUGCAGGAUUUCAAAACCCCCUUCUUGCGGGCGUCUUUCCCCUUAUUUAUUUACACCAUUUUGCAUCCCUCCACGCUCCCUUGUUCCUUUCUACUUUGACUCUCUCCAUUUCUUGGCCUAGGAUGUGUUGCCAUUGAACAUCAACGUUCUUCGUUACGGAAAACCAACUGCAGCCGGUCACACUGGCCUCAAGAAAACCAGAAAGGGGAGGAGAACAUUUUAAGAACCUUCCAGAAGUCCUGCGUUGGGUUAGCACCAGCCCUUCCAGGACUGGGUGUGUUGGAGAGGCGGAGGGGCUGGAAGGUUACUAAGAGCUCAGAUGUUCCAUAGUCAGUGGGACUGUCCAUUGGGACGGGUGACAUACCCAGCUACCAGCUGUCCCUCCUGUGUGUUACUACUGCCUGCCUGUGCAUACCAGGCUCUGUCCCCUUCUGAGGCCCAUUUGAUUCCCACCUCCGUUCUGAGAGCCCAGGCGACCGCCUUGCCAAUGGUUGGCGAGAAUUUCAAGAAGGCAAAAAACCCAUCCGAUGUUAAAAUCCUUCUCAGACCACCUAGCUCCCUUCCAGGAUGACAGAUGUCUAUUUGCCAGCCCCACCACCCAGCCCACGCCUCCCCCUUCUCAACAGCUGUUCAUCCAUUGUUAUAUUUAUUAGGUAAAUAUAAAUCCCAUAAAUACACCUGCAUGAAAAGCGUCAUGUUCCAUAAUUUGCUGUUCAGAGCCACCAACAUCCAUCUUCCCGCCAGUCCCCGUCUUCGGUUUGACAAGGAGGGUCCACACUCUGGCCCCUUUUGCUAAGUGAUGAGAAUAUUAACAUCUGACCACGCUGCCCCCGUAAGUAGCCUCUACCCCAUCUACCUUUCCAAAGCUUCCUUAUUAAUAAGAGGUCAUUUCCUCCCCAGGCCUUAAACUCAGCCUGCAGCGCGGACCAGACGGGGAGAAAAUGUUGACAUCUCCCGGCCCUGUGGCGAUACCGGGGUGAUCAUAGCCUCCUUCGGGGAGAGGCUGGCUGGGGACCCAUGCUGGGGGCUUCUGGAAGCAGAGAAACAGGUGCUCCUGUGUGGAGAUCACCGAGGGGACUUCAGGGACAGAAACACUGGUAGCCGCUUCACAGUUCAUUUUCCCGGAGCACAUGCUCUUUAUGUCUGGCUUUCUGGAAUGAUCCAAGCAGCUGGCUGAUGAGCCCUAUUUCUUUCCGUCGUUACUGCCUGGCUCUCUUAAAGCUCAGACACCACUAAGAAGAUGGGUCAAGAUGGAAAUAUGUAAUUAACACACGGUGCUGGCGAGGGCGUGGGGAACAGGAAAUCCCAGAAGCCACGAGCAGGGAGAAGAUAGAUGGUUACAGCCAAUACGGGGAGGGGGGAUUUGAUGUACCCGCCAAACUAUCCUUUGACUCAGCGACUCCUCCCCCCACCCCAGAUGUUGACCCUACAGAUGUGAUCCUACAACCCGCAAAUUGCAAAUGUGUAAAGAUGUUCAAUGUGGCACUUCUUUGAUAGGAAAAAAAAUUGAUAGCUUGGUCCGUUUUAAUGGGGUUCUGGUUAAAUUAACUCUGGGGAAAGAAC
rnacentral:lncRNA from 1 species